rnacentral:rRNA from 1 species
UACGUAGGGUGCGAGCGUUGUCCGGAAUUAUUGGGCGUAAAGAGCUCGUAGGCGGUUUGUCGCGUCGGCCGUGAAAACUUGGGGCUUAACUCCAAGCUUGCGGUCGAUACGGGCAGACUUGAGUUCGGCAGGGGAGACUGGAAUUCCUGGUGUAGCGGUGAAAUGCGCAGAUAUCAGGAGGAACACCAGCGGCGAAGGCGGCGCUCUGGGCCAGUACUGACACUGAGGAGCGAAAGCGUGGGUAGCAAACAGG